rnacentral:rRNA from 1 species
AUUGAACGCUGGCGGCAUGCCUUACACAUGCAAGUCGAACGGUGAAAGCGGAGCUUGCUCCGCUGGAUCAGUGGCGAACGGGUGAGUAACACGUGGGCAACCUGCCCCUCACUUCGGGAUAACUCCGGGAAACCGGGGCUAAUACCGGAUAUGACCUCCUUGGGCAUCCUUGGAGGUGGAAAGUUUUUCGGUGAGGGAUGGGCCCGCGGCCUAUCAGCUUGUUGGUGAGGUAGUGGCUCACCAAGGCGACGACGGGUAGCCGGCCUGAGAGGGCGACCGGCCACACUGGGACUGAGACACGGCCCAGACUCCUACGGGAGGCAGCAGUGGGGAAUAUUGCGCAAUGGGCGAAAGCCUGACGCAGCAACGCCGCGUGCGGGAUGACGGCCUUCGGGUUGUAAACCGCUUUCAGCAGGGAAGAAGCCGCAAGGUGACGGUACCUGCAGAAGAAGCACCGGCUAACUACGUGCCAGCCGCCGCAGUAA